UACGGGGGGAGCAAGCGUUGUUCGGAUUUACUGGACGUAAAGGGCGCGUAGGCGGUCAGCACAAGUCAGUUGUGAAAUCUCCGGGCUUAACUCGGAAAGGUCAACUGAUACUGUGCGACUAGAGUGCAGAAGGGGCAACUGGAAUUCUCGGUGUAGCGGUGAAAUGCGUAGAUAUCGAGAGGAACACCUGCGGCGAAGGCGGGUUGCUGGGCUGACACUGACGCUGAGGCGCGAAAGCCAGGGGAGCGAACGGG
rnacentral:rRNA from 1 species